UAACACCUGAAAACUAUCAGAAAAUUGUUAUUUUUGUGUUCUUAAUACGUUUUAACACCUGAAAACUAUCAGAAAAUUGCUAAUAUUUGUGUUCUUCAUUCGCUUUUUUUCUUCAGUGCAAAACCAUGUAAAUAUUUUAGACAAGGACAAGGGGUUUGUCCGUUUGGUGGUGCUUGUUUCUACCUACAUACAUAUCCAGAUGGAAGGAAAGUAGAACUUCCACCACCUAGGCCUCGUCGUAGGCAGAAUCAAGAUGGUGAACUGGAAACAGUUGAUAGAAUAUUUUUGUGGGAUUUCUUUGAUUUCCACGAUGAUCAGAUACUGUUUCACCUGGGCAUUGAAGACGUGUUAGACUUGUUUACUGAUACUGAUUCAGAAAAUAGUGAUGUAGAUUUAUAGGAAACUUUCUUGCUUCUCCAUAUUUUUUGAGUAAAUUUUUCGAUACCAUUGGCAUUGUCAGUUUGGAGUGUAAAUGUACGUUAUUUUAAAGAUUACAAAUCACUCAAAUGCUUAAAACCUGUUUGAUAGCACAGAAUGGUCAUCUUGCUUUAUCCAAUAGCAAGACAGUAUUGUAUGCUUAGAAUACAAUUUGAAGUAGAGAUUGAGGUCAUAAUAUUCUAGUGUUAUUUUCCUUGAUAUGCUCAUUAUUACAAUAAAACUUAAUAAAUGUAUUUAAGAUUCUUUUCAAAAUCUAUCUUAAUGAACUACUUUCAGUAAUUUCAUCAAAUUAAAUUCUUCAUGUUACAGUUUCUGGAAUUUUUUGUUUUGUUUUCUUGUGUGAUUUUAGGGCUUAAGACAAGCCACUCAAAAUGUUGUUUUCUUUAGUAUUCUGUUACCUUUUAUAUGUGAGUCAACUGGUCUUUGUUCAAGUCUUGAUACAACUUCUUAUAAUAGAGAAUUGAAUUCACCUUAUGAGGGUGUAUUUACAUAGGAAAAUUUAUUUCUGAGAAUUUUAUUUCUUUUUAAUAUUCAGCAUAGUUUUGAAGCAGUUUGAAAUUAAGUCCAAUCUGUUUCCUGUAUGCUAAAAAAUGUUACUUUAAUCUCUAGCUAUGUGGUGAUUCAAUAGUAACUUGAUGUGAAUUUCAACGUUUUAAUCAUUCUUCCAACCAUUUAUAAUUCAUUUAAUACUUUAUAGGUUCUUCCAAUCCUUUAUCAUCAAUUAAUUCUUUAUAGGUUCUUCCAACCCUUUAUCUUCAUUUAAUACUUUAUAGGUUCUUCCAAUCCUUUAUCUUCAUUUAAUCUUUUGUAAUAGUUCUUCCAACCCUUUAUUGUCAUUUAAUCAUUUGUAAUAGUUCUUCCAAUCCUUUAUCUUCAUUUAAUACUUUAUAGGUUCUUCCAAUCCUUUAUCAUCAAUUAAUUCUUUAUAGGUUCUUCCAAUCCUUUAUCUUCAUUUAAUACUUUAUAGGUUCUUCCAAUCCUUUAUCUUCAUUUAAUACUUUAUAGGUUCUUCCAACCCUUUAUCUUCAUUUAAUACUUUAUAGGUUCUUCCAAUCCUUUAUCUUCAUUUAAUACUUUAUAGGUUCUUCCAAUCCUUUAUCUUCAUUUAAUCUUAUGUAGCAGUUCUUCCAACCCUUUAUCUUCAUUUAAUCUUAUGUAGCAGUUCUUCCAACCCUUUAUCUUUAUUUAAUCUUAUGUAGCAGUUCUUCCAACCCUUUAUCUUCAUUUAAUCGUUUGUGAGAACAGUUGUUUAGAAAUAAGUGAUUUUAUGUAAACCUGAGAAUCAAAUAACAUAUUUUUUUACACUGAUUAUUUUACGUUUUCACUAGCUAGUAAACUUUUGUGAUGUAAAAUUUAUCAAUUCUUAGCCUGUAGAAUUAACCAUUUAAUUCUGAAGAUUUAAUUAACCAUUUAAUUAAGAAGUUAAUUCUGAAUUUUUACAACAGCUUAAUAAAAUAUUCAUCUAAUGGUUUUUUUUUGUUUCAUGUUUAGGAAAUGUUAAUCAAGGAACCAAAUUUCAUUAACUUUUAUUGUGUUUAAAUUCUCUUUCAUAACGUAAUGUUUGUCAUUGUUUGAACUUAUGGAAAAGUUAUCAGUUUCCUUUGACAAACUGAUAAAAGCAUAGAAUUUAAAAGUGGCUCAUUAGGUGAAACUGUGCACAGUCAAAACUUCAGUAAAUUUUUUUUCGAAGAUAAGAACUUUUUCCACUUAAUAUCAUAAUAAGUUAGAAACAAGAUAUCAAUGAAGUGUGCAUGUUUAUACUAUUAUAUGCAUUUCUGUGUCAGGAAUUGAAAAGUAAGAAAUAUAAAAUUCAUUCCUUUCUUCACCUAACUUGUUAUAAACCCAAAUGAUAACAACUUUGUUUCAUAUAUGUUUCUGAAAUUGUAGAGCCACAAACUGCAAAAUUUAGUGUGUGUUAUGGCUUUAAAUUUAACUGUUUUCUUCUACAUGAAAUGAUGCUUUGUUGCUGCAUUAAAACUAAAGCCAUAGUUGUAUUCUCCUAGGUGCUUGGGUGUUAAACAGGCUUAUUAAACUGGUGUUUUGUAAAAGUUUA